rnacentral:lncRNA from 1 species
AUUUGGUGACACAUUGGUCACUGGGUCCCUUGGCAAGGGCAGCCUUCUCUCAGAAGGAGAGGAAGACCAGAACAGGCCCAGAAAAAGUGAGAAAGGGGAGGGGCAGUGAGGAGGUAGAGACAGUAAGUGUAGGUUUAACAAUUUGAAGAUGUUUGACUGCAAAGAAGAGAUCAGAGAUCGUAGCUGGAGAAGGAUGCAGGGUAUAGGGAAUCUUUUUCUUUUCUUUUAAGAUGAGAGAGCCAGAGUGGAAGGAGCCAAGAGAUCAAGAAGGAGAAGUUGAAGAUGCGGGGAGACAGAGUGAGUAGUCAAUGGAAUGAAGUCCCCAAGGAAGAUGGGAGGCUGGGAUCCAGAGCCAGGGAGGAGCUGGUGUGGAGUAGGAAGGAUCCCUCCAGCUUCCACAGGGACAGGAAGGCAUGUAGGUGGGAGGAGGCUGUGGGAAGGGAGGAGGCCGACAGCCCCUACUCACUGGGGACUGCUCUGGGAAGAGGCAAGGUGGGAGAAAAGACCACGCCUGGAGA